CAGUGGAGGAUUUGAAUCGGGGUCAGCGCUGUGGACGUUUUCAUGAGGGGAAGCAGCAACCCCGGCAGUAUGGGAAAGAAAUGAAACGGCAAAUGUCAAUAAAUCCAUCGGACUAAAUGCCAGGCUGAUGCUAAGGAAAUGUCAUUGGCUGUUUAUAAUGGGACCCCCAUACUGUGGAGGGGGAGGCUGCAGCACGUGCCACCUGCUUAGGAAGGCACCGAGCAUGCAGAGACAGGCUGGAGGUGGAGGCAGGCUGUGAGAUGGCAGCUCAGGAGAGGAGUGCAGGUGGUGGUGAUGUGUGGAGGCUGACAUUAAAGAAGAGCCGUAAAAACAGGAACGAGGCAGAGGCAUCCACAGAGGCGCUGAUAUGCGAGCUUGGGAGACGAUUUACACUUUCUAUAAAACCUACUGUUGCACCAAGAUUUAACGGUUAAAGGGGUCUUCCACUGAAUUCAGCAAUGUUCCCUUUUGAUGCAGAUGUGUAGCAGCUCCUUCUAGUUUCUUUAACAAUAAUGAAAUAGGCUGAAAUUCAUUUUGGUGCCUUUUUAUAAUUUACAGAAGCAAACAAGACCAUCAGUGACAAGACUGAUGACUUUUUUAUUGUAAUUUUUGAUGCUCAAAACUGUUGCGAGGGGGUCGGCAUCUAGGGCUGAAACGAUUCUACCUCGAUUACAAAUAAUGAUUGAGGGGCUUUUCUUGCAGUGUUGCCAACCUAGCGACUUUAGCGACUUUUACGGCAGCCACUAGCAACUUUCCUUACUGAGGAGUUUGAGACACUGUUUUCUUCUGCAGAGCUCCAGGAGCUCAUUAGCACUUCGCCUCUGAGUCGUGGGUGGAGACAGCGCUGCUCUGCAUACUUCUCUUUACGCUAGCUUACAGCCUAACAUUGCUGGUGUCGUAGCAGAAGCAGGUAACAAAGACGUUAUUCAGCUCUCGGACACUAAUGUCUAAGUUAAUAUCAUAAUUAGCUUUCUGACGAGCAUUGCGAUCCGCUAACGCACACGCUUGUUCCGCAAUUGUCCUCUAUUUCUCUGAGUCUGGUCUUCAUUGUGGGGCUACAGGAAAUCUGACUUUAUGUGAGUCUGCCAUUUGGGUCCAAUUACUCAAGUAAUCGAUAGAAUAUUCAGUAGAAUACUCGAUUACUAAAAUAUUCAAUAGCUGCAGCUCUAUAUGCAUCAGACAAACACCCUUUUAAAAACACCCACGCAAAAAAAAAAAUCACAAUAAGUGAAACAUUAGACUGUCAAACAUGUGCAGAAUGAGCAUAUGUAGGGGACAGGAUAAAAAAAAAAAGACUCCUUUGUCCACAGGGGGGAGCCAAAGUUGACACAUACAAAAAGUUCCUUACUGGAGCUUUAAAAUCGUGGCUAACAGUGUUGUUGUUGUAUCAGUGUUAAACUCAGUUGAAAAGCCUUCAAAGGAGCUUUAAGUGUCAUCCUUUUGUAGAUUAACCAUAAAAAAAUGAGUCUUUAACUUAUACUUUAAUUGAUUGGAUUACUUAUUAGACAACAAAGAGAUAUCAGAAAUGUCUUUUUCACUAAAUUAUAUAACCUCAAAGUCUGGGUUGUCUUAUUAGCUCUUCUUAGCUCCUUAUUCUGAUUCGACCGUCGGCUUCACCUCUCAGCGUUGGAUGCUUUCCACGUAUCGAGUUGUCCCUUUCACACUUCCCGCCCAUUCAUUUGAAGCUAACGCCUUCCUUUCCUCUCCAAUUUUAUCAGGCGCCACUAUGUCCGAGCGCCGAUAGCUGCUCACUCAUUAGCAGGGAUCAGCUGCUCUUGUCUGUAAACCUUCUCCACUGUGAGUUCCCCCAUUCUGCUUUUCUUGGACUUUCCCACCGAGAUAGAGAGGCUGUAAGGAGAGAGGCUUUUUCUCUCUCUUUGUGUGUGUGUGUGUGUGUGUGUGUGUGUGUGCAUCUGCAUCACUGGCCACUUUCCCAUGAUGCAAACUGACAUCAAGCAGGUAGCAUUAAUAUUCAGAGUGUGGGUGAGUGCGUAGGUGUGUGCACUUGUGGCUUUUGAGUGUGUGCAGCUUUUACCUCGAGAAAAAAAAAAAAAUCCUUCCAUCGCCAUCUUUGAAGUGUGCGCCGCUUGUCACGGCGGACACAUUGUACACCGUGAAUGUUGAUAAAUGUUUACAGCAAACGCCAGGCCACAUUAGCGUGAUGUGUGCGUGUGUUCUUUAGUAGGUGUGCGUUCAAGAAAAGAAAACAGAGGGAUAAUUACCGCCAUGACUGUAUGACUGUAGGCAUGUACAGUACGUCCUAAACCCAAAGACUUGAGGAAACCAGGCCGCUGGAAACCGCACAAUGGAGGACGAGGCCUUCCAGCUGCUUUGAAAAUAUAAACAUUCAUGUAAGCCAGCAGCCAUACAGCUGAGCUGUGCAUGUAUCAUCUCUGACACUUCAGAGAUUACACUCAAACACACUGUUGGAGCAUGUUAACAUCACUGCGUCGAGUUUUCCACGCGCCUCGGCGGAUUGGCUGGUCUGUGAAUUGGAUAAACACUGUUUAGACAAGUUCUCCAUAGGAGCAGAUUUGAAAAUAAUGGCUCCUGACAUAUUUACUCAAACAGACGUGAUUUUCAAGGAACUGUUUUCUAUCUUUACGGGUUUUCUUCCUUUUCUUUAUCGCUCUUUUUCUUAUUUGAGAGGAAACAGAUGUAGGCCUAAGCCUUAAUAUAAGCAUGUUUUAAGCUUUGAGUUAUGGCUGCACGAUAUUGGAAAAAAAUAACAUUGCGAUUUUUUUAAACCCUUCGAUAUAUACUGUAAUAUUAAAAAUACAGGAAUUUUCACCAGAUGACCUGAAUAUUCAACUCAACUUCAUUUGUUAAGCACUUUCAAACAACCACAGCUGAACAAAGUGCUGUACAUAAAUAGACAAAACAAAGCAGACAUAAAAAACAAUAAAAACAGUGGAUAAAAUAAAAGCAGAUAUUAAAAAGUUAAAUACAGUUUCAAUGUUUUUAAAAACUAAUUUAAAAACAUAGAAACAAAUAAUUAAAAACACUGAAACAGGAGCUGAGUCUCAUGCAGGGUUAAAAGCCAAUGAAUAAAAAUGGGUUUUAAGACGAGUUUUAAAAAAUGGACAGUGUGGGGGCUUGUCUGGUUUGGAGGGGUCGCUCGUUCCAUAAUUUUGGGGCUGCAACAGAAAAAGAUCUAUCCCCUCUGAGCUUCAGUUUGGACCUCAGUACAGGGGUGAAGCACUUUAUGCUGAAUUUUUGUGGACAGUUAACCUGCUCUGAUCUUCCCUCUUUUUGUGAAUGUUUGUAGAAUGGCUUCUGUCUGUCUCAGAGAUAAUUUUAACUUUUAUUGUGCUGUGGCGUUAUCGUGGCAACAGAUGUAAUACACUGCCGACACUUGUUUGGUCGACAUCAUCCUCCUUGUAACCCAAAUAAUUCCAGAUACCUGACGUUGCUUUUCUUUUUGGCAACAAAUCUUCAUUUUCAGUCGUUUUCUCUUGUUCAUUUCUCAUUUUGCAAUUGUUGUUGUCACUGUUGUCGCCUCCAAAAACGUGCACCGCUUACAGUAGAGUGGUCCAUGGAAAUGUACAAUUUAAAACUCAUUUAAUUCUUAUUUGUUGGACUAAACAGUGAUGAGUAAUGUUCCGAAGGUCAUUCUCGACGGGUAUAUGUUUCUCGGCACAACACCGGCAGCGCCAGCGACUCACUCCAUGUGCAGGACAUGGUUUCCUCCUCUCUGAUAGCUGGCAGUGUAAUCUGAUUGGCCAUUGAGUAAAGAACCAAUGUGAUUGGUGUUUCACUGCACAGCACAUGCAGAGUCGCAUGCAGUGUUUCUCUGUCAGCUACCCUUGAAAUUAGAUUAAUCAUUUUGCCUCCGACAUCGCAGGCUCUGCAGUGUGACUAUCGUGCACAUGUACAUCGCGAUGACGAUGCUCAAACGAUAUAUUGUGCAGCUCUACUCUGAGAGUUUCAAUUGUCCGACUUUUCUUUAUGUAUUUAAAAAAAAAAAAGACUUUUUUAAUUUGCUCCAAAAAUUUUUGUAUCGCGGCAGCCUCCACUAAAAAUCUCCAGGAGGCUCGGCAGCCUCAAGCAACUGUGCUGAUAAAGCGAUAUCUGCGUCUUCUAUUACAACCCAGUGUGGUGUAAUAUAAUGUAAGCGAGCUGUCACCUGUUGAUUUAGAUGUGUAUUUUAAGCUCGAAGUUAAAAAUGUGGGCGGUUAGGGUAAAAGUUUAGGGAAAAGGAGAGGAAGUUUCGCUCUUGUUGUUGAGAAAGUAGAUUUUCAUGUGUUUAUUAAAGUGAAAUUUCCAUGAAUGGCUCUCCGGGGCUCCUGUCUAACAUUCAGCUAUUAGCAGGAAGUGUCAGUUUGCUUGUUUUGACUGAGUGCAGGCAGAUGCCACCCCGCUGUGCGUUUUGUUGUUUUUCCUAAACCUACACAUCUCCGGGGCAAUCUAUCCGAGAAAUAAGCGCUCUUCGGUGAAUUGUUAGUCUGAUUACAUCUCGAAGAGACGAGUGUGUGUUUGACUUUGUUUUCAGACAACAACAAUCCCACUUCAGAUGUCUCAGGGGCUCAGCCUCCCUUUGACAACGGGGAUCCGCGGACUGUGUGGAGUGCAGAGCGGGGAGUGGGAGCGGCACAGUCAGAGGAUUAACAUUGGAGCUAGUGGCUAAAGCAAGCGGUGCCCACAGGUCAGAUUAGACGAAUGUAAAGCCUGCAGCCCCCUUACAUCGCACUUUGAAGUAGGGCUUACAACCUCGGCUUUAAGACGCAGAGUCGAUGGUGAAAGGAAGCAUCAUUUUUGUCCCUUUUUUUCCAAUGAGGGAUCAGGAAGUGUCGUACCGAGUAUCUUGCAAAUGUCUCACAGGUAUAUGUCACACCUGUUAGGAUUGGCUUUGUUUCACUUUGCUAUAGGAGUUUUAUUUUCUCUUCUUUGGGUCAUAAAAUGUCUCAAAAAGUCUUCAAUUGGACUUUUAAAAGUUUGCUGUGAAUGUCUGUGGGAAAAGAAAAAGUACAGUCCUUUGAAACUCCGAUAAUCAAGUCCCAGUCGGGGUUAGGCUUGCAUCAGAGUUGUUCCAAAGGUUUAAGGUUUUCUGCUUAUUGGGCUCAAUAAUAAUGUACAUAUCAGGCUUUAUCCUCAUUUGGAUGUUUUAGAAAUGUCUGAGUUUGGACAGUCGCGUCAGAGAGCGGGGAUUUGGGCACCCAAAGGUUGCACGGCAACAGGAGAAAAACCGAAAUGAGAUGAGCGGCAGAGACGGAGAGCAUGAAGAUUUUCUCUUAAUAAGGCUGAUUUAUUAUGUGCAUAAUUUUACAUAUGCCCAUAUUAAGCUUGAGGCUUGCAGACUUCACUCACAGCUGUACAGCACCAGUUGCAUACAUGAGGGGACUUCGUGGGUCUGUUUCUUGCAUUGCCAGUUUAGCCGUGAUUAACUUUCAAAAUGCAAAUUUAAGAGCUUAUCAUGCUUGGAAAUAGGUUUAAUUUAAAGUCUUAUUUGGGGAAAUUGCUAGUUAAACUGCCCAAACUUUAAUGUUUACGCCAAAUUCAUUUUCUACUUCUAUCUUUUUUGUCUUAUUUUCUGCACAAACACUCUCAGUUUUACCGCCAGCCUUGUAGAAUUUGUCCCACCCCUUUGUAAAGAAAGUCUAAUUCUUUCACAGGUAACGCUAGCUUUAAUUUACCGCCAGAUAAUGACGGCGUAAUGAUGCCAGACUGAUUUCCUGGUGUUAUUUUGAAGUCUUAAUCAGACAUCAUCGUGCCGCUGCAGACAGCUGCAGCACAUGAACCCACUUUGACGGACCAGAUAUAAACUCCUCUUGACUCUUUUGUAACCCCAAGGCCUGAUUUUCCCAUUUUGUCUCUGUUCUCGAGGACACUUUGUAAUAAUGCUCCUCCCUUGACAGUCCGUGUUCGGUGUCAGCUGCUACUUUGAGGAUAUUGGACAGUAAUGUGCGGCAAAUUUGUCCCACGAUUGAUGUGAUUUUGAGAUUGUGUAAGAACAGUCCAGCUAAAGAAUGGUGCCUGAAGUGAAAUUGAGUUUGGCGUGAAGCCUCAGAAGGAGAAGCCUGAGAAAAUAUUAUUUUCAAUUCUCCUCAAAUAGUCCCUUCAGGAAGGAGGUACGAAAAAUGUGUAGAUGUGCACACCAUGGCGUCAUCUGCGUAUAAAGAACCCAAAUCUAUUUUUGGUGAUGUUUACGCUGUCUUUUUGUGCUUAGAAUCAAACAAAACCACACUAUUAGAGGACUUCUCUAUUAAUAUUUUAGAAAAUGAUGAGAAAAACUCCAUGAAAGCAGUAAACAGGAGAACGAAGGCACCAAUUUGUAACAGGAAACAAAAUUGGACAAGCUCCAGUGACAGUGCUUUUAAAACUGACCCGACUAAUACAAGGGUUAGGUGUGAUUUUGAUCUCCGUGCAAUUAAAUUAAGCUUACUGCUUCAACAAACUGGUAUCGGUUUGUUUAGUAGAGGGAAGUAAGAGAGUUAGUGGUGGGUUAGCAACAAUGAGGUCCAAGAUUAAACGGUCCAGCACAAACUUUAAAGGUCCUUUUUUCCGCGGGGCGAAAAGCGUCUUUUAUUUUUUCGCUCUUUUGUCGAAUUUUUCGGAGAUUCGCAGGCGAAUAUCUGGACCUGCUAGACCUCUGGCCAAUCAAAAGUCAUGUUGUUGAUGAUAUUCAUUUAUCAAGCACGCUAUGGCGAACCCAUCCAGCUCCUCUUGGAGACGAGUGAGCUAUAGAUGAGCUGUUAUGUGCUUAUAUACAUUAUAACGGGGCUGGGGGCCCGGAGCUUUCAAGAAAACGGGACUUUGUCUCAUUCAGAUAGAAUAUUGCCCAUUAUUUUAAUCUUACCUCAGACAUGUGGCGAGCCGCUCCUCUGGACCAAUUGGCUCUCUGUAGUUAGUUGUCUGCUUCUCCAGCCGUGGGGUCAGCUGCUGGAGGAGGUCGUUAAAUCGCCCGAGGGACAUUCUAAAAUACUGGCGGAAUUUUGGGGGGUAGAACUUCGCUUCGCAAAAUUUAUAUGCAUAUUCGCUUCGCGCCCGGUGUGUAUAGGCGAAAACGAUUUUUCGGACCGGCAAAUAUUUUCGCAUUUUCGUCUCGCUUUUUCGCUUCGCUCUGCAAAAUCUCCUGUAAGGAACUUAACUCUAAAUUUCACUGUUACUGAAUACCCAGUCUAUCUUAUCUGUAUCAUUACACAACUGGCCACAUAGGGUGACUUUGAUCGCAGCGCACAUCCUCAAUUUUUGUAGAAAAUCACCACUGUAUCACUUUACUGUGGUCAAGAGCGCCAUUCAGUGGUCAGGUUACGACGAGAGUGGAUUGAUAAUCAUGACAACGAUCCAGAAAAGUAAGCCUGUGUUUCCUCUCUGUGAUUUUCUGUCUUUGAAUUUGGGUUGCCAUGGGACAACUUCCACCGCCCCCGUUUUUUUCACUUUGUAGGAGUCAGACUUUGUGUCUUGAUUCAAUAAAGCGACAUAGAUGCCGGAGAUCCAUUUCUUAGAGGGAUGCGGCACACAGACAUCCCAAAACCUAGACAGAGGAUGGAUAUGCAGACAGAUGAUGCCGGGGGAACGGGGCCAUCACUGGAAAUUUAGCGUCGUGUCAACAUCAGCUCUGACAGCUUCAAUCCGGCGCUCACUCUGCCGGAGUCGCACAGUCAGAGGGCCUCCAGCUGAACUCCUCAACCCUGCAAUUUCAUUUCCCUUCUUCAGAAUAACAUUUCUGGAGGAAUAUUACUCGACAUAACUAUUUUUAUGUUAAUAUUAACCUUCACCAUGUUCUGUCGCUGCAGUCACAGAAUGUGCCCGUUCGUUUUUGUUCCUGUUCAUAAAAUAAAUGCCAAAUAAGACGGCUAAUGUCAUCAGAAUUACGCAGAUUCCCUCCUCGCACUGAUCAUACCUUUUUUUGUUGUAUUAUAGUAUUUACGGCGCGACUCAUAUGAAGCAGAACUUAUUUGAAAAUUCGGUUGUUAGUUUUGUCAAUGGAACCUCUCUGUCAGUUUUACACUUGGAUGCUGCUUCAAAGACUCUCUUCACACCGUCAAAAUGUAUAAAGCUAAAUUCAAAAGAGCGAGGACACUGUGUAAAAUGUUCACAGACGCGAGUUUCAGAAGUUUGUCGAUCAGUUAAAGUUUAUAAAACACUGAAAAAGUUGUGCAACGCUAAAAACUUCAAGAUUACCUUCUAACUAAUCAAGUUAAUUUGGAGACAUGACUGAGUAUUAAAACAGGAUUCUAGUGAGGCUGAGUCUAUCACAUGGAAAGAGAGACAGAAAUGAGAAGACCGCCUGAGUAAAUCGGACAAUAGCUGCAGAAAAAAAGGGGAAAAAACUCACCUGAAGAUUUAAGGAAACGAGGCCAAGGACUGAUGAUGAAAAGCCGAAAACAUACAGGAGCGUGUUCUGUAUUUGCUCCGUAGAGCAGCUCUGGGUAUCACAGACAGGAAGCGUAUUUGGAGCGUAGCAGCAGCGUUGUGCAGCCCCGGUCAGCUGGACUCAGUAUAGAGGAAACAACAUGAUCACAACAGGUUGUUUUUCCUUUCUGUGGUCGAUUUCCUGAUAAUUUGGAUAUAAUUCAGUAAAAAGCAACCUGAUUUUACAGUUUUGGUUUCUGCAGGUUUACUUGUGUUUAAUAAAGUAAACUAUGAUCCUUUCUGCUGUUACCUUCAGACAGAGUUAGCAGUUCAAAGUCCUGUUGGGGUCCACAUGGAUCAGGGAUUGACCAACAGAUAGUUCUGUGUUACUGAUAAAUCCAGAACCAGGAAGUAUUUCUCAUCUACAUGAACUGAUACACAGUCAGGAGUUCACAUAUGAUGUUUUAUUUUGAAAUAUCGGGUGACAUGCGCGUUUUUUGUGUUUGACUUCCUGUCUGGAACGAUCUUCUCUGUGGGGAUUGACGCGCAUUGGAAGCAAAAAUAGAUUCGCCGCGUAUUUUUAGCAGUGCUGCUUUCAAUAUGAUGCUGCAACGGAGCUGAUACACGUCCUGAAUGCUUCACUACAUUGAUUGGAAUGGCAACCUAUUUGCUGCGUGAUAUUAGCCUUAAGGUGGUGAUCUUUGGGCCCUCAGGUACCACUGUAUUCAUAAUCAAAAUCCUUUAUCUGUCACUGUACGCACAAAUGUAGGUCUGACAAAUCAAGACCUGACAUUAUUUUGGAAACUAUGGACGCCAUAUUCUCUGAGGAUCGUGGACACCUGGCUUGUUAUUGAUGAACAGUUAAAAAGCCAGCAUCUUUGAUAUAUGGAGAUGCAUUAGUGAAGAUGCAGAUGCUGAAGUACAUGAUACAUGCAUUGUGACAACAUGGCUCAGUAGUAGAAGAGUCCAGGUGCUUAAUAGACCCACCUUCAGUUCUUAUUUGUCACCUAUAAAAAACGAAUAUCACAAAAAAUAAACGAGUAAAGAGACCUUGAACUGUGGAGGAAAUCCUCUGUGAGUUAUACGGACUUUCAAAAGUCCCUAAAGUUGCUCUUCUUUGUUUCUUCAGUGUUGUCAAAUUAAAAGCUCUGAUACUGAACUUCUCUUUUGGAUUUUUUUUUUUACAGGAAAAAAAAAUUGAAAAUGUUCAAAUAUCUAUUUCUUUUGCUAAUGAGCUUUUCCUUCUUUUCUUUCCAUGCUCACCAAUGGGAUCUCUACUCAUCUCUUCCUGUUGUCCUCUCCCGUCCAAUGGGGAUGCUUCAUUUCUGCUGACUUCAUCAGGUAAGAGAAACUCGUUUUCUCAUCUCUGCUGGUUUGAAAAGCGUCUUCAGGUCGUGAAGUUUGUCUUCAGCUGAUUGGUUGAGUUUGGAUAUGUAGUUGGAUGAAUACUGGAACUUCUUUGAGACUUCCUCCUGGGAUCCCUGGAUCAUUUUUCAGCGGCGACAUGCUCGUAUUUGUUAGUUUUUUUAAGGAGUAGAGGCUUGUGUUGUUGUUUUCUCCGGAUAGCGUCUGCGUCUUGAAGUUUCUUCUAUAUGAAAAGUAGGAGAGAAGAAAAACAACAACCGCUGAGAUAAAAAGAAGUUCGCUGACAAAAAAAGGAAAUCUGACCUCAAUAAAAAUCAAGAUGACGAGCCGAGAACUCAGAAUGACUGCGCUGACCUGAAUACGAGCAGGUUCCUCAGAGCAAUAUCUAGCAGGGAAAUUUAGGGCUACAUGCAGGCUAAAUAGCCUUUUAAAUAAUUCAUAGUUUGCUCAGCACUUGGCUGCAUUGAUAAGCUGCCCGCUUAACAUAUCGAGGGCAUGAAUAAGUGAAAAUCAGAUCCACACAAAUGCGCCGCUCUGCUUUAUCACACAAAGACUUCCUGCGCGUGGCUGGGAGGUACGACACAAACAGGUGUGAUCUGAGCGUCUUUGCAAAACGAGCAGCUGAAAUCCAAAAUGGCGGCGGUGUGGGUCCCUGAUGGGAGCUGUAGUUCAAGAGGAAGUUUCAGAAGCGUGGCCCCCGGCAAUGUCACAAGCUACAAAACUAUACACCAUGCUCAUCAAAAGCAGCUCAGCAGCCCUUCCAAAGGUUUGCUUUUUUGUCGCCUUAGGCGCCCGGAGCUCCAUUCGGCAGCGCUUUUCUGCUUCAUGUCUGAUCAUUAGCGCCACAUGAAAGCAGCGGGCGGACGGCGGAAAUGAUCCCACCUAGUUUUCAUUUGUAUCAUCGCAGACUUUGAGACAAUCACGCCGAGAAACCAGCUCGUUUCUUUCCUGCGGGGAACUUGUUUGUUUUUGGAGAACAAAACCUCGCGAGCCUCCCAUGACUUUUUAUUCAGCGGAUGUGCUCUCUUGUAGAUUUUUGGUGUAAUAUUCUGCAACAAAUUGGAUUAAAAAGUCUCAAAAACACGGUCGGAGAUCAUCCACAAGUCAAGUUCAUAGCCUGGAGGCUCAGACUGAGCCCUGCUCGCUGUGUUUGUGCUGGUUUUACAGUGAGUGUGUGUGAGAGAGAAAAAGCUUGUAGUUUUAUCCCUUUAGAGACGAGACAUGUCCGAGAUGUGAAAAGCCCUUCAAAAAAAAAAAAAGUGUUUUCCUCGCUCGACACUUUGAAAUUGGCUCGCGUCGUGCUCAGGUGUUUUUGGUGUAAUGGUAUUAAGCCCGAGUGUAGGGGUUAAUGAACAAGUGGAAGUGGGGAAGAGGACGCUCCCAAACAAAACGUGUGUCUUUUGUGUGUGCAUGCGCACACAUGUGCUCAAGCCCUUAAUCCUUUAACGGGAUUACAAGCUGCAUUGUCCUUUGUUCACUUGUUCCUUUUUCCACCCACGUACGCGGGUAACGGAGAGAUGUCGGAGCCCACAUUCAGGAUUACAAUGUAAUGUUUUCUUGAUAGGCUGUGUGAGAGGGAAGCUGCCUGUGAGAGUCUUUUUUGACUUACUCUACAAUCCCAUUUUUAUACGACAUGUGGCACUGAGCAGAAAUGGAUGGUUUCCAAAUCAUUUACAGUCGAUCUUUAACUGAAAAUAGUGCCAAAAAAAUUUAAUUAGAUGUUGAAACUGGAAAAUGUUUUUGUUUUAUGAAAGAUAUACUCUCUUUGUUAAUUUGAGAUCAGGAAGAAGUUUCAGAAAAAGUUAAAAAAUAGACAGAAAAUGCUUAAAAUGUUCUGAAAAUGCAAAUGAAACAACUGGAGAAGCUUUUACUAACUAAUUACAGUUAUUUUCAACCAGUUGGUAGCAUAAAAGGGCACUCUGGAGAGGCUGAGUUAUUAAAAAUUAAAGAUUAAAAGAGGUUCACCAAUCUGUGAGAGACCGAGUAAGAAAAUAGUCCAGAAAAGUGUCAAAUGAAGUUGGUUUGAUAAGAAAAUCGGGAGAAAUCACUUCACAAAAUUAUGGAAUUAUGGGGGUUUUAUGGCUCACAGGAAAUAUAGCAUUAAAAACAGAUAAGACUCUGUAGUCCGAGUCACCGCAAUGCCUCAAAAUCAGUUUCAGUUUCAGUUUAUUUGGAUCCACCA